UUUUCAUUUACCUACAUAUUGCAGUAUUUAUUGUCUGUUGUUGCUUAGAUUUAAAAGAAAAUUCAGGUUAUGAUUUCAAAUCCUUUAUCUGAUCAAAAGCAACUAACGUCCAGAUCUCUUUUGUGAGCCUAUUCUUAAAGAAUUGACCUAAGGAAAACCUUGAUUUUCUAGGAAGAUACUCUUAUCUACCUGACUUUGGAAAUACAGAUAACAAUGUUGCACACUCUUAGGUACACGGGUGAUGGAAGAGGAUUUGUGGCAUAAUGAUUAAGAGCUUGGUUCUGGAAUCAAACAAACCUGGCCUGGAUUCCCUGGGCCUCCUGCUUAUGGUUCUGACACUGAGAUACCCAAAUUGGCAUUUGAAAAAUGCUUUGAACUCUUCCAGCGGAAAAAUACUAUGUAAUGUUAAUAUGAUAUAUUUAUUUUCACAAGUACAAGUAAAG
rnacentral:lncRNA from 1 species